GGAAUAUUGGACAAUGAGCGAAAGCUUGAUCCAGCAAUGCCGCGUGUGUGAAGAAGGCUCUAGGGUUGUAAAGCACUUUAAGCAGGGAAGAAAUGUUGCAGGAUAAUACCCUGCGAUCUUGACGGUACCUGCCGAAUAAGCACCGGCUAACUCCGUGCCAGCAGCCGCGGUAAUACGGAGGGUGCAAGCGUUAAUAGGAUUUACUGGGCGUAAAGCGUGCGUAGGCGGUUUGAUAAGUUGGAUGUGAAAGCCCCGGGCUCAACCUGGGAAUUGCACCCAAAACUGUCUGACUAGAGUGUGGUAGAGGGAGGUGGAAUUCCAGGUGUAGCGGUGAAAUGCGUAGAUAUCUGGAGGAACAUCAAUGGCGAAGGCAGCCUCCUGGGCCAACACUGACGCUGAGGUACGAAAGCGUGGGGAGCA
rnacentral:rRNA from 1 species